rnacentral:misc_RNA from 1 species
UUUCCGUAGGUGAACCUGCGGAGGGAUCAUUAUUGUAUAACCGAGGUACAAGGGCUGGCGCUCACACGAAUGUUCCUGCACCCCCGAUUACCCUCGCAGAAAUCCAUCUACCCCCUAUGUUCACCACGGCGUGGGGCGCACUUUUGGUUGUUCGGAGAGGGCCUUACGUUUUGACACAAACGUUGUAUGCAGGGUAGAAAGUAUUUUUUGUUUUUACGGUCACGCAAUCAAUACAACUUUCAACAACGGAUCUCGUGGCUCUCGCACCGCUGGAAAAAA